rnacentral:misc_RNA from 1 species
GCAUCACAGCGGAGAUGAAAGGUUUCAGAAAAGGUUUCAAAUAUAUCUCGCAAAUGUUUGGUGGGUAUUGUUCAUUCCUCUUUUUUCAUGAAUUAUUUUAUUUCAAACCUAUUUCUCCAAGUUUGUAACAUUUUCAUAUUUUGCAGAUGAGAAAGAACCAGAAAUACAAAUUGGGUAUCCUACAGAUGUAAAGCAUGUUGCUCAUAUUGGAUUUGAUGGUCCGUCUGCCUCUAAACCAAGCUGGAUGAAUGAGUUUGAAUCUUCUCCACAAAUCUCAAAUGGGACUGCAAAUUGUAUGGAAGAACUUAAGAACCUUUCAAUACUUCCACCCUCACCAGAUAUAAGC